AUGGCGUCGCCUUCCGCCUCUCCAGCCCACACACUUCACCUCAAAACGGCAAGGCCGAACGCCUUCUUCGCACCACUAACGAUGUCCUCCGCACUCUUCUCAUCCACGCACAUAUGCCGCCCGAGUAUUGGGUCGAGGCACUCCACACCGCCAACCAUCUUCUCAACCGGCGACCCUCAUCAGCCAUUAACCAGCACACACCCUACUACCUCCUCCACGGCGAACACCCCACGUACGACCAUCUUCGCGUUUUCGGAUGCCUUUGCUUUUCCCAACCUCACCCACCUCGCGCCACACAAACUAGCCCCCCGAUCCACUCCUUGCGUCCUACUCGGGUACCCCCUGGAGCACAAAGGCUACCGCUACCUCGAUCUACGCUCGCGCCGCGUUUAUAUUUCUCGCCACGUGUCAGGACCCCGACUCGAUGUCACAUCGAUCUAG
rnacentral:rRNA from 1 species